rnacentral:sRNA from 1 species
UCAAUUAUCUAAUUAUAAACAGUCACUUAUGCAAAUAGUUUCUCAAUGAUUACUACAAAAUUUCUCUCUACAUAAACGUUUUUUUAAUUAUUUUUAGUUAUGUUAUUCUCUCUCCUCCUUUAUGAAUUAUUUAUAUUAUUUUAGUAAAGAGAAACUCUCAAAAUUGUAAUCGAUGGAAAUGCUCUAAUACUGUAGUUUAAGAAAGU